rnacentral:rRNA from 1 species
UAAGGAAUAUUGGUCAAUGGACGAAAGUCUGAACCAGCCAUGCCGCGUGGAGGAUGAAGGCCCUCUGGGUUGUAAACUUCUUUUCUCUGUAAAGAAAUGCACGGUUUCUACUGUGUUUGACGGUAACAGAGGAAUAAGCACCGGCUAACUCCGUGCCAGCAGCCGCGGUAAUACGGAGGGUGCAAGCGUUAUCCGGAUUCACUGGGUUUAAAGGGAGCGUAGGUGGGCAGAUAAGUCAGCGGUGAAAUACCUGAGCUUAACUCAGGAACUGCCAUUGAUACUGUUUGUCUUGAAUAUCGUAGAGGUAAGCGGAAUAUGUCAUGUAGCGGUGAAAUGCUUAGAUAUGACAUAGAACACCAAUUGCGAAGGCAGCUUGCUAUGCGAAUAUUGACACUGAGGCUCGAAAGCGUGGGGAUCAAACAGG